UUUAAAUGCAGUUGUGGAUUUAUGUAUAUAACGUUUGAUCGUCCAUCUUAUCUAUUUUUUUUUAAAAAAAGUUAUGUAUAAAGUACUAUUCAUAUUUUAUCAUCUAAUAACAAUAAAGAUAGUAAUCAUAAAAAAAUUCAAAUAAGAAAGAUACAAAUCAUAAAAAAAUUCAAAUAAGAUGAACGGUCAAACGUUGCACACAUAAACCCACAACUACAUUUAAA
rnacentral:pre_miRNA from 1 species